rnacentral:rRNA from 1 species
AACGAACGCUGGCGGCAGGCCUAACACAUGCAAGUCGAACGAACCCUUCGGGGUUAGUGGCGGACGGGUGAGUAACACGUGGGAACGUGCCUUUAGGUUCGGAAUAACUCAGGGAAACUUGUGCUAAUACCGAAUGUGCCCUUCGGGGGAAAGAUUUAUCGCCUUUAGAGCGGCCCGCGUCUGGUUAGCUAGUUGGUGAGGUAAUGGCUCACCAAGGCUACGAUCAGUAGCUGGUCUGAGAGGAUGACCAGCCACAUUGGGACUGAGACACGGCCCAAACUCCUACGGGAGGCAGCAGUGGGGAAUCUUGCGCAAUGGGCGAAAGCCUGACGCAGCCAUGCCGCGUGGAUGAUGAAGGUCUUAGGAUUGUAAAAUCCUUUCACCGGUGAAGAUAAUGACGGUAGCCGGAGAAGAAGCCCCGGCUAACUUCGUGCCAGCCGCCGCAGUAACAC